UACAGAGGCCAAGAGCGUUGUUCGGAUUUACUGGGCGUAAAGGGCGCGUAGGCGGCAUGGCGUGUCGGAUGUGAAAUCUCCGGGCUCAACCCGGAAAGUGCGUCCGAAACUACCGUGCUGGAGUAUGGGAGGGGGAAUCGGAAUACAGGGUGUAGCGGUGAAAUGCGUUGAUAUCCUGUAGAACACCGGAGGCGAAGGCGGAUUCCUUGAACGGUACUGACGCUGAGGCGCGAAAGUCGGAGGAGCAAGC
rnacentral:rRNA from 1 species